UACAGAGGUCCCGAGCGUUGUUCGGAUUUACUGGGCGUAAAGGGUGCGUAGGUGGUGAGGUAAGUCUGAUGUGAAAUCUCCGAGCUUAACUCGGAAAUGGCAUUGGAAACUACCUUGCUAGAGGGUUGGAGGGGGGACUGGAAUACUUGGUGUAGCAGUGAAAUGCGUAGAUAUCAAGUGGAACACCAGUGGCGAAGGCGAGUCCCUGGACAACUCCUGACACUGAGGCACGAAAGCUAGGGGAGCAAACAGG
rnacentral:rRNA from 1 species